UUAUACCUGGCGCCGGGUGCAGUGUGAUCAAAAAUGCACUGACCCCCAGUGUAGGUUUACCAUUGCACUUCGAUGGGUUGAAACUCACGACGGACUCUAAUCAGGUGCACUCGAGCGCAUAAUUUUUAUCAAUAAGGAAGCCUUACGGUCCUCU
rnacentral:snRNA from 1 species